CAGCAGCCGCCGCGGUAAUACGUAGGGUGCGAGCGUUAAUCGGAAUUACUGGGCGUAAAGCGUGCGUAGGCGGUUUGUUAAGUCUGUUGUGAAAUCCCCGGGCUCAACCUGGGAAUGGCAAUGGAUACUGGCAAGCUAGAGUGUGUCAGAGGAUGGUGGAAUUCCCGGUGUAGCGGUGAAAUGCGUAGAGAUCGGGAGGAACAUCAGUGGCGAAGGCGGCCAUCUGGGACAACACUGACGCUGAGGCACGAAAGCGUGGGGGGCAAACAGGAUUAGAUACCCCAGUAGUCCCUGUCUCUUAUAC
rnacentral:rRNA from 1 species